rnacentral:rRNA from 1 species
CCUACGGGAGGCAGCAGUAGGGAAUAUUGCUCAAUGGGGGAAACCCUGAAGCAGCAACGCCGCGUGGAGGAUGAAGGUUUUCGGAUUGUAAACUCCUUUUGUUAGAGAAGAUAAUAACGGUAUCUAACGAAUAAGCACCGGAUAACUCCGUGCCAGCAGCCGCGGUAAUCCGGAGGGUGCAAGCGUUAUUCGGAAUCACUGGGCGUAAAGGGCGCGUAGGCGGGAUAGCAAGUCAGAGGGGAAAGCCUAUGGCUUAACCAUAGAACUGCAUUUGAAACUGUUAUUCUAGAGUAUGGGAGAGGUAGGUGGAAUUCUUGGUGUAGGGGUAAAAACCGUAGAGAUCAAGAGGAAUACUCAUUGCGAAGGCGACCUGCUAGAACAUAACUGACGCUGAUGCGCGAAAGCGUGGGGAGCAAACAGGAUUAGAUACCCUGGUAGUC